CUGAUGUCAGAUGUAAUGUACAUCCCUACCAGAGAUUCGUACAUUUUACUUCAUGCCAUUUGUAACCUUCAAUGUUUUCAUUCCUAGCGACUGUGAAGUGCGCACUUCGUAAUCGCCAUUUUUUUGUGGAAGCGAAGCAAUUCGGAGAUAUUCCGAAAUAUACUCAUUUUGGACAACGUUUCUUCUAUUCUACUACUGAUAGAAGCAUUUCCAUUUGCGAUCAAUCGUAAACGAACAUUUUACAACAGCCAUGAUUCGAUGCUAAUAUUUGGCGAUACAAACUAGGGAAAGGAAGAACCAAUAACGAUUCACCAUCGGUCCGUGCAAACGGUAUCAAAUGAGCGUAUCUUUUCGUCGACCAACGGCAGCGACCAGCGAAUCAACAAGUGCAGCUGAUUCCAGCACGAAUAGCUCUUCUGUUUCUUCACUGGAGCAUCGAAAAUCCCUAUCAGGCUCAGGUGCAGGCAAGAAUCAAUGAAGGAGGAGCAAGCUACGCUACCGCAAGUAUAGUCAUUUGCUCAUAAAAUUUACAAGAUGUAUCGAAACUCUCCAGGAAAAGUGUCGUCAUUCGUUUUUUCUACAAACUGAUAACCUCUGCGUGAUAAUGAUGUGUCAGGAAGAUCCAAUCAACUGCUUUUCUCAACCGGAGGAUGACAUGGAACAUGAAGAACGUCAGAACCGACUACGUGCUCUGUGCAAUCAUCAGGAUCUGUUCCAGGAGGAGAGUGUUGAAUUUGAUACUGGAAAGCAUCGACAAAAUCAAUGUCAUAUCGUCACUAGGUUUCAUGAUUUCCUCCUGGCUAGUGAUGAAACAGUUGGGAGUCGAUAUCCGGAUAUCUGUUCCAACUACUAGCGGUUGUCAUCAAGGAAAACUCAUUUUGCUAA